GAUGUGGAGGCACAACGGGUGAUACCAGACACACACCAAGCACAUUAUGUUUGGACAUUCAAUCAUGACAGGAUCCAGGUGGAUGCUGUCCAUUGAUGAAAGAGUUUGUUCAGCGGUUUCUGGAUAGAAUUAAUUCCAAAGAUGGGAAAAAGUGCACAUCCAGACAAGGAGCAAGCAAAAAGACAAGGAACUUGGUGCAGAGAAAAGCUGUGGCCAUUAACCCCUGUGAACAGCUUCAUGCAGUCGCUGAUUGAGUUCGAAUGGACGACUUCAGUAAAGGCCACUGUGGUCUGUCUGCCACAGUUUAAUUUUUAAUUUAUUUUUAGUGUUCAAUGAAAUUCAAGUAGAAUAUUUAAAACUAUGGGCCAGUGUUGUUUUUACCACGGUGAAAUGUUACCUUUUAGUCGAUGAUGGACUUUAAUCUGAAAACUUCAAACUAUGGAACAGUGUUCUAUUUGCCAGAGUUAAA